rnacentral:rRNA from 1 species
GAUGAACGCUGGCGGCGUGCCUAAUACAUGCAAGUCGAGCGAACAGACGAGGAGCUUGCUCCUCUGACGUUAGUGGCGGACGGGCGAGUAACACGUGGAUAACCUACCUAUAAGACUGGGAUAACUUCGGGAAACCGGAGCUAAUACCGGAUAAUAUAUUGAACCGCAUGGUUCAAUAGUGAAAGACGGUUUUGCUGUCACUUAUAGAUGGAUCCGCGCCGCAUUAGCUAGUUGGUAAGGUAACGGCUUACCAAGGCAACGAUGCGUAGCCGACCUGAGAGGGUGAUCGGCCACACUGGAACUGAGACACGGUCCAGACUCCUACGGGAGGCAGCAGUAGGGAAUCUUCCGCAAUGGGCGAAAGCCUGACGGAGCAACGCCGCGUGAGUGAUGAAGGUCUUCGGAUCGUAAAACUCUGUUAUUAGGGAAGAACAAAUGUGUAAGUAACUAUGCACGUCUUGACGGUACCUAAUCAGAAAGCCACGGCUAACUACGUG